AAUGAACGCUGGCGGCAUGCCUUACACAUGCAAGUCGAACGGCUGCAUGACCUAGCUUGCUAGGUUGAUGGCGAGUGGCGAACGGGUGAGUAAUGCAUCGGAACGUGCCUUUUAGUGGGGGAUAACGUAGCGAAAGUUACGCUAAUACCGCAUAUUCUCUGAGGAGGAAAGCAGGGGACCUUCGGGCCUUGCGCUAGAAGAGCGGCCGAUGUCGGAUUAGCUAGUUGGUGAGGUAAAGGCUCACCAAGGCAACGAUCCGUAGCGGGUCUGAGAGGAUGAUCCGCCACACUGGGACUGAGACACGGCCCAGACUCCUACGGGAGGCAGCAGUGGGGAAUUUUGGACAAUGGGCGCAAGCCUGAUCCAGCCAUGCCGCGUGAGUGAAGAAGGCCUUCGGGUUGUAAAGCUCUUUCGGCUGGGAAGAAAUCGCACCCUCUAAUACAGGGUGUGGAUGACGGUACCAGCAUAAGAAGCACCGGCUAACUACGUG
rnacentral:rRNA from 1 species